UUGGAAAAGCUUUCUUCGAUCAUUCAACGCCGCGUUUGAAACUUUUUUCCAAUGACUUGCAAGUAUAAAAUUGGAAUUUUUUCUCUGGUAACAAAAGGGGUGGCAAGAUUAAAACACCGCCAAUUGCUAAAUAGAGCUUGACUUCGUCAUCCACCUCUUGUGCUUGCUAGAGUUGCUAGACAGAAAAUAUUCUCUGCUGUGCCCCUGUUUUUAUCAGCUGAUAUGCUCUGGCAAACUAAAGAAAGUCUCACCUGGACCUCAAGAGGGAAAUUGAGCUGGAAUAUCUGAUUCAAAUUUGUUGCAGUC
rnacentral:lncRNA from 1 species